UUUAGAAUCUUUGGGGAGUAGCCGCACAAAUAUCCCAUGUGACAAGCGUCAACAUACUUGUUUUUUGAUUAAAACAUGGCGUUUGUAUCUUUACCACAAAUUUUUGUGGUUGGACUGGCAAGAC
rnacentral:sRNA from 1 species